rnacentral:tRNA from 2 species
GCCCGCUUGGCUUAGGGGUAAAGCGUGCCACUCGUAAUGGUAAGAUCAGUCGUUCGAAUCGGCUAGUGGGCA